rnacentral:tRNA from 4 species
GGGCCUAUAGCUCAAUGGUUAGAGCAGCGGACUCAUAAUCCGUUGGUUGCAGGUUCGAGUCCUGCUGGGCCCACCA